GUGUUGCAAAAAAGGAGAGAUAUGUAGCACUCCCCUUGACAAAGAUGGAGGAGAUCAUUUGAUCUUUCUAACACAUGGACAUUGCUCUCAACUUCAGAGCAACCUAUUGUUU
rfam:Octopus bimaculoides Scaffold181815_contig_2, whole genome shotgun sequence.